rnacentral:rRNA from 1 species
AGUAGACGUUCAGAGUUUGAUCCUGGCUCAGGACGAACGCUGGCGGCGUGCUUAACACAUGCAAGUCGAACGGAAAGGCCCUGCUUUUGUGGGGUGCUCGAGUGGCGAACGGGUGAGUAACACGUGAGUAACCUGCCCUUGACUUUGGGAUAACUUCAGGAAACUGGGGCUAAUACCGGAUAGGAGCUCCUGCUGCAUGGUGGGGGUUGGAAAGUUUCGGCGGUUGGGGAUGGACUCGCGGCUUAUCAGCUUGUUGGUGGGGUAGUGGCUUACCAAGGCUUUGACGGGUAGCCGGCCUGAGAGGGUGACCGGCCACAUUGGGACUGAGAUACGGCCCAG